rnacentral:rRNA from 1 species
UACGGGGGGGGCAAGCGUUGUUCGGAUUUAUUGGGCGUAAAGGGUGCGUAGGCGGCGGAGUAAGUUGGGUGUGAAAUCCCGGGGCUCAACCUCGGAAUUGCAUUCAAUACUGCUUCGCUCGAGUACUGGAGAGGAGGCUGGAAUUUACGGUGUAGCAGUGAAAUGCGUAGAUAUCGUAAGGAAGGCCGGUGGCGAAAGCGAGCCUCUGGACAGUUACUGACGCUGAUGCACGAAGGCCAGGGGAGCAAACGGG